AAUUCAUACGUUUAAUCAAAAGAAGAAUACUUUUUCUAAGAUGUAGUCCCUUUUAACCUGUCGUUAAUUGGACUUGGGUCCCAAAUCAACCUUUGUGAGCUGCCUUCCAGUUCUAUUGCUUCUUCUCCACUCAAUAACUGGUUGUAUGACAUUGGGCUAUGAAAUAGUUGUCUUAUUUGUUAUAUUAGUACGUUGUUUAGUGAAUUAGGGCAAUAUAACAGGAUGACAAUGGUAUUCAAUUUGUUCGAAAAGACACAAAGAUCUUUCGGUUCUGUAGGUCUAAGUGCCACAACAACUUAAGAUGAAGGGGAAUCCUCGUAAAGUUAAAUGGACUAAAGCGUACAGACGGCGGCAUGGAAAGGACAUGACUCAGGACUCAAACAUUUGAAUUCGAGAGGAAGCGUAAUAGGCCAGAGAGAUAUGACAGGAAUGUAGCUGAGAACACUUUGAAGGCCUCAAGAAAAUUGAUAAAAUCAGAGUUGACAGGGAGGAAAGACAUAUUACAAGGAGGAUGAAAGGAAAGAAAGCCAAGGAGCAGAGAGAAGCAACAAAGGAGCUCCAGCAGAGCAUUCACAUGGUCAAAGCUCCUUCUGUGCUC